rnacentral:pre_miRNA from 1 species
AUACUACUCCCUCCGUCCGAAAAUACUUGUCAUCAAAAUGGAUGAAAAUGGAUGUAUCUAGAACUAAAAUACAUCUAGAUACAUCCAUUUCAAUGACAAGUAUUUCCGGACGGAGGGAGUAAGAU